UGCCUUAGAGCUGACAGCUGGACAGCUAGAUUCCCGGACCGUGAGAUGGCAGAGACAGAAUAAACUCACCAAUGGUCAUUACUACAAAUCCCACCUGUGUGGAGGGGGCGUGUAGAAACAUGACCUGUUUGGGGGUAGAAGUGGUUUUAGAGAAGAUCAACCUAUUUCUCUGAGUGUGUGGGAGAUGCUAUCCUGAAGAAAGAAAAAAGGCAGCUUAACUUCAUCAAAUCUCUUCAUCAACUGGAACUUUAGAUAAAUAAUCAAAAAUACUUGCUAUGCAGAAAGGUACAUAUCUCUAGGAUGCCUCAGUGAGUUGCCUGUGGUAAGGACUACUUAGCAAACAAGCCCAGCAUCUCUAGAUCCUCAACACAGCUUCCCUGAAGAACAUCACAAUUUACACAAUUCUUGACUCUACGGUGGAGACAAUUUCAUACACUGAACACUCUUCUUCCACUGCAAUUCAAGCCUGAAAACUAUCUGAAACCUCAUGUGUUAUUCUAGGUCAGGGAGUCCAUGUCUCAUGUGGGUAGACAGGACCUGUGAAGUGAGUGCCCUUGGCUAUCCCAGACCAUCUGCUUUGUCUGCGCUUUCUGGUGGCCCACGCGCUGCAAUUAUUAACAACGUUUAUUGCUUCACAGUCUCUGACCUCUAUUUGACGAUCUGGUCUUAUAUAUUAGCCCUCUCCUGAACUCAAUAAAGGGAGCGCUACGAUCA